CCGUAGAAGAAGAAGCGCGCGGUGCAUGCUGGGAUAGUUGUCAGAACGCUGGUUUGUUAAUAAAGUUUGACUGACCUAUCUACCAACCGACCGUCUAUAAUCAGGUCGCCUGCAGGUCAUUUAGCACCACGUUCUCCACCAACAUGCUGUGGGCGAACGGAGAAGGGUGACCAUCGUCGAGCCACGCCCCAGCCCAGAGAUCGGAAGAGCGGAACAGC